UCUCUCUCUCUCUCUCUCUCUCUGGUUCGUUGGUAUUGCUAUGGCUGAAAUCUGCUCGUCUUUUAUGUUUCCUUCCAUUCCUAAUGUAAAGCUUUUUGAUUACCCUAAUUACAUUUCUGUUUCAGUAGCAGCAUAAGCAUCAACUUCUUCUUCGACAACCGUUGGCAUGAUAGGCUCCUCCACUUCUGGCACCUCCACCGCCAAUGCUGGUGGUGUGUCCUCUCAAUUGUUGUUUUCUCAAUCUCAGCCACAACACAACUGCUAGCUCCUCUACUUUCGUCUGGGUUUAUUCUACCAUGAUUAAAGUUGAAGAUAGAGAGAUGGGUUUCUUUGAUUCUCCAAUGAGAUUGAAAUUUAAUUGGAGAGAGAGAAUUUGGGUUCUGGGCUUGAGGAGUUGAGGGUGGAGAGGCUAGUAACCUUUGAUAUCUAUCAUGGGAGAGUGUUCACCAGCUACGUGGAGGGUUGAGAUAGAUUCAGUAGAAAAGCGUCUCAAUAAACUGGGUUACAAGCAAGAACUCAUAAGAGAAAUGACCUCCAUCUCCAGCGUCAAAUUCUCCAAUGACGGCAAGCUAUUGGGUAGUUCAUCAGCAGAUAAGACCAUCUGUCUCUAGUCACCGGCCACAAACAGGGCAUCUCCGACUUUGCUUUCUCUUAUGAUUCCCAUUAUAUCUGCUCUGGCUCAGAUGACGAGACUGUUCGGAUGUGUGACGUUCAGACCGAAGCUAAAUGUCACAUGAAGAAAACCCGUCGAAUGUCGCCGUUGCCGCUGUAAUUUCCAGUGCUAUGUAUGAUCACUGGUAAUCUAAAUCUAUUUGGGGAUGAGACUUAUUACA